rnacentral:rRNA from 1 species
GAUAAGCGCUGAAAGCAUCUAAGUGCCAAGCUCUUCCCAAGAUAAGGUUUCCCUGAAGACCCCAGGUAGACUACCUGGUUGAUAGGUCAGGCGUGUAAGUGUGGUAACAUAUUUAGCGGACUGAUACUAAUUGGUCGUUCGGCUUGAUCGCUUUUUUUU